GAGUCCUUGAGAGUGUGUAACGACUCAUCAGUUUUGUCCACAAAGAGUUUGGCUCCCUCAAAUGGUAGAAUUCUCUCCUUCUGCACACCUAAGUUCACACAUCAGCAAAGAUAGGACCAGCUGCCACCAGAGCAGCAGCACCUGGGGCAAGAGAGCACCGGCCUUCCUCCUAGGGCUGUCUCUUUUGAGGAAGGUGCAUCUUCUUCAGGAAGCCUUUGCUAACCCAGGUGCUAUUCCAGCUCGGCCCAUCCCUGCUGAUGUACAAACCCAUAUGAGCAAGAGAUAGG